AUUCGUAUGCACGCACACAUAGGCACACGGAUAAUUGGCGAAUUCCCUCGCAAUUCCCUAAGACCACAUGUGGAUUUUAUUACUGUGGGGUCAGAGUAAACGGUAAACGACGGAGCCCGUGGAUCGAUCAGCAAACGCUACGAAGCUGGGAAACAAACGAAGCAGCAACGAGGGUCAAUCCUGAGAAACUGCAACAUGUUGGAACAGAGUGACAUUACAGUACACAGCCGACAGGAGGCAUAACGGGUAAUGUGUCAUGCAUUACUCUCCGGGUUUUCCUCCCCCUCCCCCCGGAAAAGGAAAAGAAGACGGUCUCCACAAGGGGGCCGUUUGCCUUGGGAAAGGUGGGGGGCGCACUGCAUUGUGGGAGAAUACAUCAUGAGCUUGGCGGGAGAUGGACAAUGAAGGGGACAUCCGCUCUGAGAGUCAUUCCCAUGUCUACGUGCGUCUUUCCUCUUCUCUCUUCCCCAUUUUCCCUUCGACCGGCUUCCUCUCAGUCCACGUCAGGCCCUUUCGCUUUUACACGAUCUGGUUUCAAAGCUUGAAAAACCAGGGCGGUAACAGCGCGAUGACGUCACGCUGUGUCAGGCCCCCGUCAUGUGACCCGAGGGAGGAGCGCAGCAGGAACGGCCUGAAGCAGCCCUGUGUAGCGCACCUGCAGAGUCCUGCAGCCACAAAACUGCACAGUCAUGCGAAAACACAGGCCAAAUCUCCCGCGGGAGAAGCCGAUAAUCCAGCAGGACAACCCAUCCCGCGCCACAGACCCUGCACAGCUAACACAUCUGCUGGCUUUAUAGAAAUCCAGCACAGACCUUUUUGCAAACAAAAGAAUUUGCCUGAGAGAGAAGCAUUAUGGGAGAACAAAGACCACCUUCUGCAGAAGGACCCCCGAGCUCGCCUGAGAAGUGUCUCUGUCACACAGCUCAUGUGUCAGAGCUUCAA